AUUGAACGCUGGCGGCAUGCUUUACACAUGCAAGUCGAACGGCAGCACGGGUGCUUGCACCUGGUGGCGAGUGGCGAACGGGUGAGUAAUGUAUCGGAACAUGUCCGGAAGUGGGGGAUAACGUAGCGAAAGUUACGCUAAUACCGCAUAUGCCCUGAGGGGGAAAGGAGGGGAUCGGCAGACCUUUCGCUUUCGGAGUGGCCGAUAUCAGAUUAGCUAGUUGGUGGGGUAAAGGCUCACCAAGGCGACGAUCUGUAGCGGGUCUGAGAGGAUGAUCCGCCACACUGGGACUGAGACACGGCCCAGACUCCUACGGGAGGCAGCAGUGGGGAAUUUUGGACAAUGGGCGCAAGCCUGAUCCAGCCAUGCCGCGUGAGUGAAGAAGGCCUUCGGGUUGUAAAGCUCUUUCGGACAGAAAGAAAUCGCGCAGUCUAAUACACUGUGUGGAUGACGGUACUGUAAGAAGAAGCACCGGCUAACUACGUGCCAGCAGCCGCAGUAAGAC
rnacentral:rRNA from 1 species